UACCAGCACCCCGAGUGGUCGGGACGAUUAUUGGGCCUAAAGCAUCCGUAGCCGGUUCUACAAGUCUUCCGUUAAAUCCACCUGCUUAACAGAUGGGCUGCGGAGGAUACUAUAGAGCUAGGAGGCGGGAGAGGCAAGCGGUACUUAGUGGGUAGGGGUAAAAUCCGUUGAUCCAUUGAAGACCACCAGUGGCGAAGGCGGCUUGCCAGAACGCACUCGACGGUGAGGGAUGAAAGCGUGGGGAGCAAACAGG
rnacentral:rRNA from 1 species